AUUGAACGCUGGCGGAAUGCUUUACACAUGCAAGUCGAACGGUAGAGGGGGCAACCCCUUGAGAGUGGCGAACGGGUGAGUAAUAUAUCGGAACGUGCCCAGUCGUGGGGAUAACGUAGCGAAAGUUACGCUAAUACCGCAUACGAUCUAAGGAUGAAAGCGGGGGACUCGCAAGAGCCUCGCGCGAUUGGAGCGGCCGAUAUCAGAUUAGGUAGUUGGUGGGGUAAAGGCUCACCAAGCCAACGAUCUGUAGCUGGUCUGAGAGGACGACCAGCCACACUGGAACUGAGACACGGUCCAGACUCCUACGGGAGGCAGCAGUGGGGAAUUUUGGACAAUGGACGCAAGUCUGAUCCAGCCAUUCCGCGUGCAGGAUGAAGGCCCUCGGGUUGUAAACUGCUUUUGUACGGAACGAAAAGGUUUCUAUUAAUACUAGGAGCUCAUGACGGUACCGUAAGAAUAAGCACCGGCUAACUACGUCGCAGCAGCGCGUAAAG
rnacentral:rRNA from 1 species